rnacentral:misc_RNA from 1 species
GAUGAAGAACGCAGCGAAAUGCGAUACGUAAUGUGAAUUGCAAAUUCAGUGAAUCAUCGAGUCUUUGAACGCACAUUGCGCCCCCUGGUAUUCCGGGGGGCAUGCCUGUCCGAGCGUCAUUGCUGCCCUCAAGCGCGGCUUGUGUGUUGGGCCCCGUCCUCCGAUCCCGGGGGACGGGCCCGAAAGGCAGCGGCGGCACCGCGUCCGGUCCUCGAGCGUAUGGGGCUUUGUCACCCGCUCUGUAGGCCCGGCCGGCGCUUGCCGAUCAACCCAAAUUUUUUAUCCAGGUUGACCUCGGAUCAGGUAGGGAUACCCGCUGAACUUAAGCAUAUCAAUAAGCGGAGGA